rnacentral:lncRNA from 1 species
CAGAGAUGGAGCCGGCGCCACCUGACUAGGGAGGACUAGUUUAGAUCUCCAGAUUCGGUACAGUGGGAAUACCUGAGGGAAGAGUUUCAGAGUUAUUUGAGGAGCAGGGACGCCCACGGGUUCCAACCAAUGCCCUCCUUACUUGUUUUGUGUUUCGUUUUAGUUAUUAGCGAUGCGGUUGGAUGAGACUUUGUUGUUUCAUAUGAAAGAAUUUGCUUUGAGGGAGCCGGGAGCAGCACUACAAUCCGCAGGGUUGUUUAUUUUAAAUAGGGCUCUGCACGGUGUUAUUUAUGACACCGUGAUGUUGACACUUCGAGUUCUUUUAAAGUUAUAUUUUUAUUUGCAUUCCUGUGUGAGGGAAGGGAGGGGGAGAGGAUGGGAGGAGCUUCCUGUGUGCAAGCCUGCAGGUGCGCCAGUGCUCAGCAGAGGGCACUGAAUGCUGCGGCACUCGGGUUAACAGAUGGUAGUGAGCUGUCUGAACUACUUAAAAUUUUCAGGUAAAAGGGCAGCAAGCAUUCUUAAACUGCUGAGCGGCCCUCUAGGUGUUCUUUGCUGGGGCAGGGGAGUUAGCAGGGAGGAAGUGGAGAGAACUGGGAGAGUUGAGACCCUCCUUCUGAGCGUUAAGCUGCAUGUAGAUAAUAUCUGCAGGUGUGGCACAAUUGAAAAGGCAGUGGCUUUCAGGCUAGUCACUGCACGGACUAGUAAGGCAGCUCUCUUGCUCCCAGCACCGUGCAUCUGAUUCUCCGUUCUCAGGGACCACCUGACAUGGUUAAACAGCCCUGGCUUAACGUUCCAGACACUGCUGCCAAUACUUGCGGCUGUUAGUUCCUGAUUUCUGCUUAAGGUCGGUACUUUCCAGUAAAAACCGCCUAGAUACGCCUCUGCCCAUAUUUGACUAACAAAAUGCGUGUUAGCACAGCUUCCUGAUGAGCUGUCUUGCAAAUCUGUCCUAUGCUGCAGGCUUUGCAGUUCUGCUUAUAGUCCUGUGAUCAGAGACACUUCCUCCUGUGGCAGCUGAAUUCCACGUUUCCCGAAACAGGAUUUCCCUAUUUUGUAGAGAACUUCCAUGAUUGAAUCUUCCUGCUUCUGGAAAUAAAAUGGGUAGUCCCUUGCAUACAAAGCUUGGAGGGUGUCUCUCAUUCUUCUCUUCUUCUGCUUUUUCUCAUCUACCUGAGAAUAAUUUUAAAUGGAUCGAAGGAAUGAAUGUCAGCCACCAAACUGAGAAGUUGACUUGCCUUUAAUCACCUGUAACUUUGUUAGAAUAAUAAAUUCUGUAGAAAGCUAA